GCGUGCGUGCAGCUCCUAUGCUUAGCCUAAGAGGUGGAGGGGCCGUGAGGAGUGUGGGCCCGAGGGUCCGUAGAUGACGUAUCAGUCGAUAGGCAUUUAUUCUACUGUUCGAGGAAAACAAAUAAGGGUGCAGCUUAGGCGAAAAGAAAAGCAUCUUAUUGCCAGAGUCUAAACUCCGGAAUGUGUCUGAGACCGUGUGUGUGGAUACACGUGUACUUGAAACAGGCCCGCCUGUGUGUACAGCUCUUGCUGUAAGUCAACGCUUUACCGGAGCUAUCGCGCUUAAGCCUCAGAACAACUUCAUGAGGUCUACUUCUAACAGGCUUGUGUAUAUGCAUUCUUAUUCUAUCCUGGAUUGGAAUCAGAAAAUUGGACAGUGUUGCAGGUUCUGACUGACGCAGGCACACCGACAGUGACGAAAGUGAGAACUGGUAGAGUCUGAUUCUCCUGUCUAGAAUUGGUAUGGCAUUAGUGAUUUGCCUCCAACAAACAUAAUGUGGAUAGGAUGCUCCAGACUUCUACGCUUAGGUCAUAAGUGAUACAGUUUCACCUGGCUCUCAGUCUUGGGACCCUUGGAGCCCAGAGCCCUGUUGUGAGGAAGCCCACGCCACAAGGAGAGGCCCUGUGCAGGUGUUCUGGCUGAAAGUUCUAGCUAAGGUGCCAGCCGUACAUGAGUACGGAUUGCUAGGCGUGGAAGUGAACACGCCUUCGGAUGAUGCAAGCCUUCUGCCUAUGAGCUGCCCCAGCUGACUCCCAGUGGACAGGAAACAAGCUGUCUGCAGAGCCCUACCCAUACUGCAUAUUCAUGAGCAAGUAAUGUGUUUUAAACAACUAAGUUUUGGGGGUGGUUUGUUUUGUAUUUGAGUCCCUGCUUCCAUUAAAUCUCUAGCUCAGGUUAGCUGUAACAACUAGGAACACUUUCCCUCCACUUUUCCUUGUUUCCCUAGCCAGACUGAGAUCUUAGCACCUCCAGGUACUAAUUGUGGAUGAUUGAGUGUGGUUUUGAAGUGCUGUUAGGAACAAAACCCACCCUUAUGGGGACCCAUUCUAGCCAAAGUCCUUUUCCUUGAAGGCUUAGUGGUUGAGCAGGGGAAAAAGAAAGCUUGAUGCCCUCCAUCUCUCCUUUUCUUCUUCACUAGGUAUCCCUAGUUUUAAAAAAGAGGGGAAAGCAAGAUUUAAUCUUUUUCUGCCCUCAUCUCCCUUCUGAAUUCAAAUCUUUGGAAAGGUGCUGUCUUUUUCACUGAAAAGGUUCACAGCCUUUUCAGUCUUAUAAAGGGACCAAACCAGCCACAGCUUUUUAUUCCUUAUGAAGGAAGCAAAACAGAGUUCCUCCUCCUGAACCCAAGGCCCACGUCUCCUCCCUCCCCAGACCAGAAUGGGGAUGGAUCCCUUACUCUGGCCCCACCAGCCAGUCACUUUCCCAUCCCACCAACUCUUUCCAACUCUAGACCUUUCUUGAAUCCCUCUUCUCUCUAUCCCCACUGCCACUAGGAACACAGCAGUGGUUCUAGUUGAUUCUUACUUAGAUCACAGGAUAUUUUAUUUUCUAUCUUCCAGUCUCCACGACCCCAACUGGUGUAAUCUUUUCAAGGACCUGUAAUCUUUUCAUACUUGACCAUGCAUUUCCAUUAGAAAAAAAUCCUUUCAUGGUUCUCCCUUUCCUGCAGGUUUCAAUCCUGAGGCCCAAUAGUCAUUUACUCACAAAGCAGCGCAAACCCUUGAAAUUGUAUGCAAAAUUGUAGUAGAGGUCUAUAGGUGCAUUUUCUUUCCUGGAGAGAGACCAGAUUGCUUUCCCUAGGUUCUCAAAAGGGUAUGUGUUCCCCCAAAAGAUAGACUUGUAGGUCUCAGGCUAAAGUCCAAACUCCCCAGCAUGGACUACAAAGUUCUGUGUGACCUGGCCAUUCUUCCAGCCUGCUUUCUUUCCCUUCUCUUUACUCCUUUCACAUCCCACCCAUUCUUACUUGGCUGUAGUUGUUCACUACAGGCCUUUGUACAUACUGCUUUGCUUGCUCAGCUUGGGAAAUGCUUUCCUCUCUUAGCUGGUCUCACUUUUGCCCAUCCAGGAAACUGCCUUCUUUCUUUUAAGAAGCACCUCAGGCUAUGCUACCUACAGAAAGCUGUGUAGGCUAAGCAAGCUGGUUGUGAACUCUUGCCUCCCUGAAUCCAGCCUAGCAAUUGCUCUUUCUUUUAGCAUCUACCUCCUGGAUUUCUAAACUGGGGUGGGGGGUGGGAGAAAAGAUAAAACGUAAAGUAAAACCUGUAAAACAAGCAGUGACUAAUAAUUCUGCAGCACUUAUACAGAAGAAGAACCCCAGGCUGUAGUAUACAUUUUUGUAGUGCUUUCUUGGGAGGGUGAGAUUGGGUAGUAAAUGUGUAGUUUAUAGUUCCCUCAGAGUGUUGAUAAUAAAUACAGCACACACCUUCCUGUUAGAGAAUAUCCUAUACGAAUUUUCAACAUGAUCCAGUUUUCCUUUGUUUUAUGCCCAGCCACCAAAUGGUGUUAUGUAUUUAACAAAUACUGAAAUUAAUAAACAACAUAGUUCUGAUAUUCUGCCAUCUACUAGGACUGCUGGGUCAUUAAUCUGAAUUAUUUCUCCUUGGUUCACGCAACACCACCCAAAAAAGACGGUCUAACAUCAUGAUGUGUCCUUAAAAUUCUCCAUCUACCCAGGAAGAUGUUCCAACUUUUUGAGAUAAAUCGUGUACUAAGUC